AAAUUGAAGAGUUUGAUCAUGGCUCAGAUUGAACGCUGGCGGCAGGCCUAACACAUGCAAGUCGAGCGGUAGCACAGAGAGCUUGCUCUCGGGUGACGAGCGGCGGACGGGUGAGUAAUGUCUGGGAAACUGCCUGAUGGAGGGGGAUAACUACUGGAAACGGUAGCUAAUACCGCAUAAUGUCGCAAGACCAAAGUGGGGGACCUUCGGGCCUCAUGCCAUCAGAUGUGCCCAGAUGGGAUUAGCUAGUAGGUGGGGUAACGGCUCACCUAGGCGACGAUCCCUAGCUGGUCUGAGAGGAUGACCAGCCACACUGGAACUGAGACACGGUCCAGACUCCUACGGGAGGCAGCAGUGGGGAAUAUUGCACAAUGGGCGCAAGCCUGAUGCAGCCAUGCCGCGUGUGUGAAGAAGGCCUUCGGGUUGUAAAGCACUUUCAGCGGGGAGGAAGGCGGUGAGGUUAAUAACCUCAUCGAUUGACGUUACCCGCAGAAGAAGCACCGGCUAACUCCGUGCCAGCAGCCGCGGUAAUACGGAGGGUGCAAGCGUUAAUCGGAAUUACUGGGCGUAAAGCGCACGCAGGCGGUCUGUCAAGUCGGAUGUGAAAUCCCCGGGCUCAACCU
rnacentral:rRNA from 1 species